GACGAACGCUGGCGGCGUGCCUAAUACAUGCAAGUCGAGCGAGCUUGCCUAGAUGAUUUUAGUGCUUGCACUAAAUGAAACUAGAUACAAGCGAGCGGCGGACGGGUGAGUAACGCGUGGGUAACCUGCCUUAUACAGGGGGAUAACAGUCAGAAAUGACUGCUAAUACCGCAUAAGCGCACGGAACCGCAUGGUUCUGUGUGAAAAACUCCGGUGGUAUAAGAUGGACCCGCGUUGGAUUAGCUUGUUGGUGAGGUAACGGCUCACCAAGGCGACGAUCCAUAGCCGGCCUGAGAGGGUGAACGGCCACAUUGGGACUGAGACACGGCCCAG
rnacentral:rRNA from 1 species